UCCUCGCUAACCCACUCCUGUUAUGGACCUUAGCCAUGGUCCUCGCUAACCCACUCCUGUUAUGGACCUUAGCCAUGGUCCUCGCUAACCCACUCCUGUUAUGGACCUUAGCUAGUUUGUCUGUCUCAGUGUUUAACAGUUUCCUCUUGUGUUCUCCUAGGAGGGUGAGGAGGAGGGAGAGGAGGAGAAUGACCCUGACUAUGACCCCAAGAAGGACGCAAAUCCCCCAGCCGAGUGCAAGCAGCAGUGAAGGCUGUGGCUUUGAGGAUCAACUGCACUGUAACAGCUUCUCAAAUAAAACACUUACUUACGCCUUAUAAUGUUUUGUAUUUUUCUUGGUAGAAAUAAAAAUAAAGGGUUUCAAGAUUUUUGUUACAAAAACCUCCUAAUAUAAUGUGAGCAGUGGCUCGAUAUGCAUAGUAUUUUACUAGACCCCCACCCCCCCCUGUACAAAUAGUUAGAAUGCCACAAACUCCCUGAAAGCAUGAUCUUGUUUCUCUCACUGCUAAACUAGUUUGGGUUCUUGUGAAGUUUUUGUUGUAUUGCUCUUGGACAACAGCUGUGGUUAGUCUGCAUUGAGGCAGGUGAUGAGAAAGCUAACCUAUUCCUUUUCCCUCGCGCUACCAAAGUUACCGGUCAGUUCAGGCUGUGAGUUGGAAUUCUUUGUCGUUGUAUUAGUGGGCCUCGAGCACGGUCAGAGCAAAACACUGCAUUUAGUCAUGGCUAAUGAAAAACUUUGAAUCACUGUGCAUAUUUGGCCACUCAAGCAUGCCAUUUAGAGCAGGGAAAGUGGUUAUUGGCCACUUGUGGGCUGAAUCAGUUGUCAAUCUAAACAUUCCAGUUUGCAGACUGACAGGCAUUGGACGUUUGAAUGCUCUCUUGGGAUGAAUAUUACCUCGACUACAUGGUCUGAUUUGUUAAAGAAACAGAACCAUGUGUUAGCUGCUAAAUUUAAUGAGCCGAGUCUGCAACUUAUUGGUUUCUAUUAAAUACUUAGUGCUCUUUCUGAAUUUUAAUUUGCGUUAGGGGAGUGUUUUUCCUCCAACACGCAGCUUGGUCUUGUCCAGUCACUCCUUAACAUUCCAGAUGAUUUGACGAGGGACAGUUCCAAGGUUUCGCCAGCAGGGGCCACCCCAUGCCCAAUCUGCUUUAGGCUCUUGUUAGGCCUACAGUUUACUUGUCUUUUCUAUAGCACUUUGUACUACUUAGUCAUGUAUCAGUGGUGUCCUCUGGUUGGCUGUCGGUCCAGUAGCCCUUGUGCAAAUCGAAGUGAGCAGUACUUUGGAAGUGGCCGUGUCAUACAUUGCCCUGACGAUGCCCUAUGGGCUUUCUCCUGCGCCAUGAAACAUUUCCCUGUAAUACAUGAUUCUCCCAAGUGCAUUACUCUUUAAUUUGGGAAUCCCACUUGACUUGUGUACUCUGAUAGCAAUAGGUUCGCAACGGGUUCCCUUCCGAGGAAGAAAACGACCAAAUUCAGGCUUGUGUUGGCGUGUGGUUGUGGCUUUUGAGCCUUGUAACUCUGAGGUUAAGCUCGUGCCUGUCUGGUCCCUGAGCAUGCGGCUAAUUUAUCACUGUGAAGGAAAGGUGGCAAUGAGUUCUGGUAGAAGUCCUGUCUGACCGCCCUCUGUAGCCAACCCCACCCAGCAGGUCACACUGAAGCAUGUAAGAGCAAUACUUAGUCAGGGAAUGGAAAUAAAAGGAAGUAGCUUAAGCCCACCCACCCUUUUCCUUUAGUGGAAACAGUCAUGUCGGUGUAUGUUGGGUGGUGGUGCCCUCGCUGCUGCCGCUAGUGGAGCUCUAGGGAGUAGGAGAUUACGUCUGGACUGUUCUAGGGACGACUGGAUUCUGUCUGUGACUCCUUGAGCAGCUGUUGUCAAAGCUAAAUGCUAUGCUACAAAUACUAAAUGUACUCAAUAACUGUAUGUAUAUUCAUGAAUAAAUUGGUUAAACGUG